UUGAACGCUGGCGGUAUGCUUUACACAUGCAAGUCGAACGGCAGCAUGGGUGCUUGCACCUGAUGGCGAGUGGCGAACGGGUGAGUAAUAUAUCGGAACAUGUCCGGAAGUGGGGGAUAACGUAGCGAAAGUUACGCUAAUACCGCAUAUGCCCUGAGGGGGAAAGGAGGGGAUCGUAAGACCUUUCGCUUUCGGAGUGGCCGAUAUCAGAUUAGCUAGUUGGUGAGGUAAAGGCUCACCAAGGCGACGAUCUGUAGCGGGUCUGAGAGGAUGAUCCGCCACACUGGAACUGAGACACGGUCCAGACUCCUACGGGAGGCAGCAGUGGGGAAUUUUGGACAAUGGGCGCAAGCCUGAUCCAGCCAUGCCGCGUGAGUGAAGAAGGCCUUCGGGUUGUAAAGCUCUUUCAGCCGGAAAGAAAUCGCACUUGCUAAUACUAAGUGUGGAUGACGGUACCGGAAGAAGAAGCACCGGCUAACUACGUGCCAGCAGCCGCGGUAAUACGUAGGGUGCGAGCGUUAAUCGGAAUUACUGGGCGUAAAGCGUGCGCAGGCGGUUUUUUAAGACAGACGUGAAAUCCCCGGGCUUAACCUGGGAACUGCAUUUGUGACUGUCAGACUAGAGUGUAGCAGAGGGGGGUAGAAUUCCACGUGUAGCAGUGAAAUGCGUAGAGAUGUGGAGGAAUACCGAUGGCGAAGGCAGCCCCCUGGGCUAACACUGACGCUCAUGCACGAAAGCGUGGGGAGCAAACAGGAUUAGAUACCCUGGUAGUCCACGCCCUAAACGAUGUCAACUAGGUGUUGGGGAAGGAGACUUCUUUAGUACCGCAGCUAACGCGUGAAGUGACCCGCC
rnacentral:rRNA from 1 species